rnacentral:rRNA from 1 species
UGGCAGCCCGCCUAACACAUGCAAGUCGAACGAGAAAGUGGAGCAAUCCAUGAGUAAAGUGGCGCAGGGGUGAGUAUACACGUGACUAACCUACCCUUGAGUGCGGAAUAACUUCGGGAAACCGAGGCUAAUACCGCAUAACAUCUACGGAUCAAAGGAGCAAUUCGCUUAAGGAGGGGGUCGCGGCAGAUUAGUUAGUUGGCGGGGUAAUGGCCCACCAAGACGAUGAUCUGUAUCCGGCCUGAGAGGGCGCACGGACACACUGGAACUGAAACACGGUCCAGACUCCUACGGGAGGCA